CAGCAGCCGCGGUAAAACGAAGGGGGCUAGCGUUGCUCGGAAUUACUGGGCGUAAAGGGAGCGUAGGCGGACUGUUUAGUCAGAGGUGAAAGCCCAGGGCUCAACCUUGGAAUUGCCUUUGAUACUGGCAGUCUUGAGUACGGGAGAGGUAUGUGGAACUCCGAGUGUAGAGGUGAAAUUCGUAGAUAUUCGGAAGAACACCAGUGGCGAAGGCGACAUACUGGUCCGUUACCGACGCUGAGGCUCGAAAGCGUGGGGAGCAAACAGGAUUAGAUACCCCUGUAGUCCCUGUCUCUUAUAC
rnacentral:rRNA from 1 species